AUGCCCUCGCCCUUCUCGCCGAUCCUCUUCUCGUCCUCCAUGCCCUUGAGAUGCCCGGCGGCCUUGAGCGCCCCGACGUUGCUGACAUUGCCGAAGAUGAGCACGAUGAUGCCGAGGAAGCUGCCCAGGAACGCAGCAGCGAAGGAUCCUCCCGCGCGCCCAGGGCCGGCAGACGCGACGGCGAAGCCGAUCAUGGCGCCCAUGCAGCGGACGUACGCGUACCAGAUGGCGAACGCGCCCUCCUUGCCCGGCGGCGAGGCGUCGAGCAGCAGGAUGCGGCCGAAGGAGUAGAGGAUGCCGUUGGCGGUGCUCUGGACGAGGGCGAUGAUGAUGAUGUGGGCGGCCCUCCACCUGUGGCUCUUGAAGUAG
rnacentral:rRNA from 1 species